UUCGACUCCACAGAAGGGAGAAAUCUUUUAAUCCUCGGCUUCCUGCCUUUCGAAAGCCUUACCCCCAAUACAUCAAUGCUGUGUACCCCAUCACUGGAGCCUCAGCUUGAAGGGGCAGCUACACAUUGGCAGCUGUACUGCAGUUAGACUUUUGUUGAUGCCGCCCAGCACCAAUGCAACCUCCUCCUUCAGCUCCUCUGGAAAUAACAGCCUAUAAGAAGUGAGAUGGAGGAACCUCUC